GUAGGUGGCAAGCGUUGUCCGGAAUUAUUGGGGCGUAAAGCGCGCGCAGGCGGUUCUUUAAGUCUGAUGUGAAAGCCCACGGGCUCAACCGUGGAGGGUCAUUGGAAACUGGAGAACUUGAGUACAGAAGAGGAAAGCGGAAUUCCACGUGUAGCGGUGAAAUGCGUAGAGAUGUGGAGGAACACCAGUGGCGAAGGCGGCUUUCUGGUCUGUAACUGACGCUGAGGCGCGAAAGCGUGGGGAGCAAACAGGAUUAGAUACCCUGGUAGUCCACGCCGUAAACGAUGAGUGCUAAGUGUUAGGAGUUUCCGCCCCUUAGUGCUGCAGCUAACGCAUUAAGCACUCCGCCUGGGGAGUACGGCCGCAAAGGCUG
rnacentral:rRNA from 1 species